AUGGUGGCCGAGCUCGGCCCGGGCAGGUUCUACGGCGGCGGGCUCCCGCGGCCGCGCGUGUUCCCCGGCGGCGACCGCGCCGACCCGCCGGCGCUCCUCUCCUGGGCGCGCGAGGCGCAGUGGUCCACGGGCGCGCGAGGCGGCAGGCGCCUCCGCCUCCAGGGCCGCAUCGAGGGCAGCCUCGGCAGGCUCCGCCGCGCCGACGCGCUCGGCUCCGACGACGACGCCUCGGACAAGGACGAGGAGGAUGGGGGCGUCGCUGCCCAGGAGCGCGAGGCCGUCGACGAUAAGGAGGAGGAGGAGGAGGAGUCCGGGGAGUCGGACGAGGACGAGGAGGAGUCCGGCAAGUCGGAGGAGGACGAGGAGUCCGGCGAGUCAGAGGAGGACGAGGAGGAGGAGGUAGCGCUCGUGACUCCGGCAAGGGGGCUGCUGAGGAAGAAGGCUGUCGCCGCGGCUUCUGCUCCUUCCGCCAAUGCACCGGCGAAGGCGUCCCCAAAGAGGAAGGCCGCGGCGGCUGGGGUAACGGCGGCGACGCCACCGACGAGGAAGAGGAAGGCUGCCGAGGCACGGGCGGCAGGGAGGACCACCUCCCCGAGGGCAAAGCGCUGA
rnacentral:rRNA from 1 species